GGUUAAGCGACUAAGCGUACACGGUGGAUGCCCUGGCAGUCAGAGGCGAUGAAGGACGUGCUAAUCUGCGAUAAGCGUCGGUAAGGUGAUAUGAACCGUUAUAACCGGCGAUUUCCGAAUGGGGAAACCCAGUGUGAUUCGUCACACUAUCAUUAACUGAAUCCAUAGGUUAAUGAGGCGAACCGGGGGAACUGAAACAUCUAAGUACCCCGAGGAAAAGAAAUCAACCGAGAUUCCCCCAGUAGCGGCGAGCGAACGGGGAGCAGCCCAGAGCCUGAAUCAGUGUGUGUGUUAGUGGAAGCGUCUGGAAAGGCGCGCGAUACAGGGUGACAGCCCCGUACACAAAAAUGCACAUGCUGUGAGCUCGAUGAGUAGGGCGGGACACGUGGUAUCCUGUCUGAAUAUGGGGGGACCAUCCUCCAAGGCUAAAUACUCCUGACUGACCGAUAGUGAACCAGUACCGUGAGGGAAAGGCGAAAAGAACCCCGGCGAGGGGAGUGAAAAAGAACCUGAAACCGUGUACGUACAAGCAGUGGGAGCCUCUUUUAUGGGGUGACUGCGUACCUUUUGUAUAAUGGGUCAGCGACUUAUAUUCUGUAGCAAGGUUAACCGAAUAGGGGAGCCGAAGGGAAACCGAGUCUUAACUGGGCGUUAAGUUGCAGGGUAUAGACCCGAAACCCGGUGAUCUAGCCAUGGGCAGGUUGAAGGUUGGGUAACACUAACUGGAGGACCGAACCGACUAAUGUUGAAAAAUUAGCGGAUGACUUGUGGCUGGGGGUGAAAGGCCAAUCAAACCGGGAGAUAGCUGGUUCUCCCCGAAAGCUAUUUAGGUAGCGCCUCGUGAAUUCAUCUCCGGGGGUAGAGCACUGUUUCGGCAAGGGGGUCAUCCCGACUUACCAACCCGAUGCAAACUGCGAAUACCGGAGAAUGUUAUCACGGGAGACACACGGCGGGUGCUAACGUCCGUCGUGAAGAGGGAAACAACCCAGACCGCCAGCUAAGGUCCCAAAGUCAUGGUUAAGUGGGAAACGAUGUGGGAAGGCCCAGACAGCCAGGAUGUUGGCUUAGAAGCAGCCAUCAUUUAAAGAAAGCGUAAUAGCUCACUGGUCGAGUCGGCCUGCGCGGAAGAUGUAACGGGGCUAAACCAUGCACCGAAGCUGCGGCAGCGACGCUGAUGCGUUGUUGGGUAGGGGAGCGUUCUGUAAGCCUGUGAAGGUGUGCUGUGAGGCAUGCUGGAGGUAUCAGAAGUGCGAAUGCUGACAUAAGUAACGAUAAAGCGGGUGAAAAGCCCGCUCGCCGGAAGACCAAGGGUUCCUGUCCAACGUUAAUCGGGGCAGGGUGAGUCGACCCCUAAGGCGAGGCCGAAAGGCGUAGUCGAUGGGAAACAGGUUAAUAUUCCUGUACUUGGUGUUACUGCGAAGGGGGGACGGAGAAGGCUAUGUUGGCCGGGCGACGGUUGUCCCGGUUUAAGCGUGUAGGCUGGUUUUCCAGGCAAAUCCGGAAAAUCAAGGCUGAGGCGUGAUGACGAGGCACUACGGUGCUGAAGCAACAAAUGCCCUGCUUCCAGGAAAAGCCUCUAAGCAUCAGGUAACAUCAAAUCGUACCCCAAACCGACACAGGUGGUCAGGUAGAGAAUACCAAGGCGCUUGAGAGAACUCGGGUGAAGGAACUAGGCAAAAUGGUGCCGUAACUUCGGGAGAAGGCACGCUGAUAUGUAGGUGAAGUCCCUCGCGGAUGGAGCUGAAAUCAGUCGAAGAUACCAGCUGGCUGCAACUGUUUAUUAAAAACACAGCACUGUGCAAACACGAAAGUGGACGUAUACGGUGUGACGCCUGCCCGGUGCCGGAAGGUUAAUUGAUGGGGUCAGCGCAAGCGAAGCUCUUGAUCGAAGCCCCGGUAAACGGCGGCCGUAACUAUAACGGUCCUAAGGUAGCGAAAUUCCUUGUCGGGUAAGUUCCGACCUGCACGAAUGGCGUAAUGAUGGCCAGGCUGUCUCCACCCGAGACUCAGUGAAAUUGAACUCGCUGUGAAGAUGCAGUGUACCCGCGGCAAGACGGAAAGACCCCGUGAACCUUUACUAUAGCUUGACACUGAACAUUGAGCCUUGAUGUAUAGGAUAGGUGGGAGGCUUUGAAGUGUGGACGCCAGUCUGCAUGGAGCCGACCUUGAAAUACCACCCUUUAAUGUUUGAUGUUCUAACGUUGACCCGUAAUCCGGGUUGCGGACAGUGUCUGGUGGGUAGUUUGACUGGGGCGGUCUCCUCCUAAAGAGUAACGGAGGAGCACGAAGGUUGGCUAAUCCUGGUCGGACAUCAGGAGGUUAGUGCAAUGGCAUAAGCCAGCUUGACUGCGAGCGUGACGGCGCGAGCAGGUGCGAAAGCAGGUCAUAGUGAUCCGGUGGUUCUGAAUGGAAGGGCCAUCGCUCAACGGAUAAAAGGUACUCCGGGGAUAACAGGCUGAUACCGCCCAAGAGUUCAUAUCGACGGCGGUGUUUGGCACCUCGAUGUCGGCUCAUCACAUCCUGGGGCUGAAGUAGGUCCCAAGGGUAUGGCUGUUCGCCAUUUAAAGUGGUACGCGAGCUGGGUUUAGAACGUCGUGAGACAGUUCGGUCCCUAUCUGCCGUGGGCGCUGGAGAACUGAGGGGGGCUGCUCCUAGUACGAGAGGACCGGAGUGGACGCAUCACUGGUGUUCGGGUUGUCAUGCCAAUGGCACUGCCCGGUAGCUAAAUGCGGAAGAGAUAAGUGCUGAAAGCAUCUAAGCACGAAACUUGCCCCGAGAUGAGUUCUCCCUGACUCCUUGAGAGUCCUAAAGGAACGUUGAAGACGACGACGUUGAUAGGCCGGGUGUGUAAGCGCAGCGAUGCGUUGAGCUAACCGGUACUAAUGAACCGUGAGGCUUAACCUU
rnacentral:rRNA from 1 species